rnacentral:sRNA from 1 species
GAAGGAUGAGAAGCUUCGACCAAGGUUCGAUUCGAGCGCAGCGAGAAAGCGUUGCCGCAGGCAACGACCCGAAGGGCGAAGCGCGCAGCGCUGAGUCAUCCUUC